CUCCCGAGUAUGAAAAGCUUGGGGCAAGCUUCAAGAAAGCUAAGUCCGUCUUGAUUGCAAAGGUUGAUUGUGAUGAGCACAAGGCUGUCUGUACUAAAUAUGGUGUUAGUGGAUACCCGACCAUUCAGUGGUUUCCUAAAGGAUCUCUUGAACCUCAUAAGUAUGAGGGUCCACGCAA